rnacentral:rRNA from 1 species
UACGUAGGGACCAAGCGUUGUUCGGAUUUACUGGGCGUAAAGGGCGCGUAGGCGGCGUGUUAAGUCACUUGUGAAAUCUCUGAGCUUAACUCAGAACGGUCAAGUGAUACUGAUGUGCUAGAGUGCAGAAGGGGCAACCGAAAUUCUUGGUGUAGCGGUGAAAUGCGUAGAUAUCAAGAGGAACACCUGAGGUGAAGACGGGUUGCUGGGCUGACACUGACGCUGAGGCGCGAAAGCCAGGGGAGCAAACGGG